AGGGUCGUAGUAGACUACUACGUUGAUAGGUUGGGUGUGUAAUUGGAGUAAUCCAUUGAGCUAACCAAUACUAAUAACCCGAUUGAUUUCUUGUC
rnacentral:rRNA from 1 species